ACAGACUAGACUUGUAAAUCGCUCUGGAUAAGAGCGUCUGCUAAAUGACGUAAA
rfam:Salmo salar isolate Sally breed double haploid chromosome ssa06, whole genome shotgun sequence.